AUGCGAGCUUUCCUGCCUCAGAUACCAUUAUGUCCCUCUGACGAUGACAUGUUCCCGUUCAGUUUCAAGAGGAAACAAUUCCCAAUAAGGCUUAGUUUUGCAAUGACAAUAAACAAAUCACAAGGACAGACAAUACCAAAUGUUGGCGUCUACCUGCCUGAACCGAUUUUUUCACAUGGUCAGUUAUAUGUCACGCUUUAUAGAGCAACCGCGACAUCAAACAUAAAGGUUCUAACAGGUACACAUGAUGAAAACAAGCAGAAGAAUAACACUACAAGCGGGACAUAUACGCAAAAUAUUUUAUACACGGAAGUAUUAACCAACUAG
rnacentral:rRNA from 1 species